UACGUAGGGACCGAGCGUUGUCCGGAUUCAUUGGGCGUAAAGAGCUCGUAGGCGGCUGUUCAAGUCGAACGUGAAAACUCGGAGCUCAACUCCGAGCCUGCGUUCGAUACUGGAUGGCUAGAGUCUGGUAGGGGGAUCUGGAAUUCCUGGUGUAGCGGUGGAAUGCGCAGAUAUCAGGAGGAACACCGGUGGCGAAGGCGGGAUCCUGGGCCAGUACUGACGCUGGAG
rnacentral:rRNA from 1 species